CUUGUCGACGUCACAGUCUGUAGACCUGGCGGUUUGAAGGUGCUCCUCACCUCAAGCUAGCGUAAAGAUAACUAUCGCAAAAUCGACAGGUUGUUGUCAAUAAAAAAGACUAAAAAGUAGGACAAAGCACACGAAACAUAUUUGUUAUUAUCUUUAUGCUAAACAAAUAUAAUAAUUAUUGAAUAAAAAUUAGAAAAUAUAUUUUAAAAGAUGAUAUUUCGUAGCAACGUCUGUCCGUUUGCUAACGGGUUCCCGGCAGGAAGCUAAUGGUGGUUGGGGGGCCUGGCCUUGAAGGUCUCUCCUGCAUGGACCAGCCUGGGCUCCACAACUUAAGCCUCCUGCUGCAGCAACUAUAUCAGAGACACCAGAUAUCGAGAACACCAGACCACUGGACCUCCAGAACCCCAGACCCCCAGACCACCGGACCUCCAGACCUCCAGACCUCCAGACCCUCAGACCUCCAGACCUCCAGACCCCCAGACCCUCACUGCAGUGCAGCAACAUAAUGUGUUUCCAGCCAGGAUGUGAGACAGAGCUGCAGGCUGCUGUGAGGAGAAGCUGCUGAUGAAGUGAUGGAGUGAUCUCCUAAUAAGCCCUUCUGAGCCAACAUGAGUUUGAACAUGUGAGGGGACAGUUGCCCUGCCAGGGGCACUGUGGCCAAACACACUGGUCAACAUGUUUGUGUGUGUGUGCAACUUGUCUAGUUAUAUUGCAUGUCUGUGCCAGAGCGACCGCAGCAGUGGACGAGGGAGGAAGUGAGUGGGAGGAGAAGUGAUGGAAGGUCAAGUAAUUGACAGAAAUACACACAAGACUUCAGCUUCAAUAGUAUGACGGGCCGUCACUGGCUGUGGAUUAAACACCACCGUAAAGACGGAGCGCCCGGUGGAAAAGGACGCAACCUCCCACUUUUACAUCUCUGGCACAGAACAAAUGCUGCAGAUCUACAACGUGAGUUCUACAGAACUCUGGAAGGAACCUGGAGAAACAAGUGGAGGGACAGACAGGGAGAACGUUUGUGGAAACUAAACAAAGUGUCCACGAAAUACAAGAACAAUUUUAAUGCAACCAAACAAAUGGAAAUAGAAGAAGGGUGAGGACGAGUCUCUGCAGCUCCACAAACAACAGGUUUAUUACUGAAUCUUCAUUCAGUGUCAAUCAAACGCUGUAGGAAAAGAACAAGAUCAGGGGUCGGGUGAUGAAGGUGUUCAACUCACCAACACGGAGACAUCGAUGUCCAACAAGGUCCAACUCCGUGGGAGCUCCUCAGCUAACGAAGCCGCGAAGGUGUCGAACAAGACACGGAAAAAUGAAGACAAUGUCGUCCUCAAGUCCUUGGGGUAAAAAGGCAGGUCCUGUCUGUGGUUGAGGGAACAGUGAUUGGACGCAGGGAAGAUAAGGCUGCGCAGGCUGGUCUGGACAGACGUUGGAUAACUACUGGACCAGACCUCUGACUGAAUAGAGCCACAGACUGGUUAAAUGUCUGGGCCGGCCUUUAAGAUGUGGCGGAUAAAUACAACGAAAUGAAAUGAUUCGAUCGCCCUAAAAACUGAAGGUUUGGUCUCCAAGAGGCGAAGCAGUUUUGAAAGCUUCAACGCUUCAUCAGACGGCCGCUCGUGCGGCGCUCAGUGUGUGAUUUAAGAUCACGGUGCCAUCACAUAGAGCCGCCAUCCUUAUGUUUAAAAAAACCCAAAACACUCCACACACGAGGGUGGUGUUCCAGGACGACUAUGUUCCUGUUACUGCGAAAGCGAGUGGAGUGAGUUUUCUGUCGCUGAUGUAAACAAGCAGAUGGAGACUGGACGUAGACGCGGAGGCAGAUAUUAGUCACGGUCCUCGCUGAGACAACAGUGUGGGUCAGUGCACACACUGUACACACAAUCAGAACGUUAUCAAUGUUAAAUUGGUUCUGCUACGGUGACAGUACCUGAGAUUUCACACAAUGAAAAUACUGCCAGUUUCCUUAGAAGUAAAAUAAUACUGAAAAAAAGAAAACUGUAUUUAAUUAAACAGUCAUUAAAAACAAACAUGCUGUGAAUGUCAACCUGUACAUUUGGGCUUAAAACAACAGUUUAAGUACCGUUCAAGCUAACGUUAAUGAUUCCUAAGACAUGAAAAUGACUGAAGUUUGACGACAUGUUCUGAUCUAAUCGCUUCUGCUUUUCUACAAAACUGAAAGGUCGUUUGAAGGAAGUGGAGUUCAGUCCUUAGACCAGAGUACAAAGCCGGUUUGUGACCUGGUGUCUAAAGGACGUCCUGCAGAAUUCUACUUCUGAUGGAAACACCACUGAAGAAGAGAGUCAACAGAGAUGGAGAGAAAAAGAUUGUGUUUCAACGAAUGAAGUUUCUUUGAACAAAGAAGAACCAAUAAGUGAAGAUCCAGGAGGGUUCCACCGUCAGAAGAUCUGAGGUCAAAACUCCAAGACAUUUGGAACUAUCCACUUUUUGAGUGGAUAGUUCCACUUACCUCUUUGAGAGGUAACAUGACCACAUUAAAUAUUUGUCAUUUUUAUUGCCGUUGUAAAGAGUAAUUUAAAAAAAUGGUUUUAUCUGAAGGUUUUCUUAUAUAUAUAUAUUUGUUUUUCUUUGAGCGCAACGGUGGUGCAGAAACUCAUGCCAACUACGCAGAAGGUUUGGCAUUUAAUACCAACAAGUCUGUAACAAGUCACUAUGCAAACAUCUGCUGUGGUGAUUUUACUUUUCAUUUUUAAUGUUUGUUUUUUAUCUGGGCUGCUCUUCUUAUUGUUUUAUUCUGUUAUUCUGACAUCAAUAUGUCAACGACCAGACUCAUCCCCAGGUUGUUGACGUAUUGAUGUGACGGUACGUGCAGAACCUCGGGGGAGGUGUAGAACCAUAUUUAUCUUCUCAAGGUGUUACGGCAUGAGACGUCAAGCUCUGUGUUAUUAAAUGUUCACCUGCUAGACAGGUGUGUGUAUGAAAAACAAAUGAUGUGAAGAGGGCCCUCAGACGCUGCUCACUCUGAGCAGUUUAUUAAAGAAGCAGCUGACAGAUGUCUGAGUGAAGAAAAGAGGACAAAACAAUGACAUAUGAACCAAAUGGAAGAAAAAAACUGAAGUGUCCAGUUCGAUUCUGUGACAUUUGACUAAGUAGGUCCUUAAAGGCACAGACUUUGUUG